rnacentral:rRNA from 1 species
ACGCACGCUGGCGGCGUGCUUAACACCUGCAAGUCGAACGGAAAGGCCCUGCUUUUGUGGGGUGCUCGAGUGGCGAACGGGUGAUUAACACGUGAGUAACCUGCCCUUGACUUUGGGAUAACUUCAGGAAACUGGGGCUAAUACCGGAUAGGAGCUCCUGCUGCAUGGUGGGGGUUGGAAAGUUUCGGCGGUUGGGGAUGGGCUCGCGGCUUAUCAGCUUGUUGGUGGGGUAGUGGCUUACCAAGGCUUUGACGGGUAGCCGGCCUGAGAGGGUGACCGGCCACAUUGGGACUGAGAUACGGCCCAGACUCCUACGGGAGGCAGCAGUGGGGAAUAUUGCACAAUGGGCGGAAGCCUGAUGCAGCAACGCCGCGUGCGGGAUGACGGCCUUCGGGUUGUAAACCGCUUUCGCCUGUGACGAAGCGUGAGUGACGGUAAUGGGUAAAGAAGCACCGGCUAACUACGUG